UUUUGUAUAAUGGGUCAGCGACUUAUAUUCUGUAGCAAGGUUAACCGUAUAGGGGAGCCGAAGGGAAACCGAGUCUUAACUGGGCGUUAAGUUGCAGGGUAUAGACCCGAAACCCGGUGAUCUAGCCAUGGGCAGGUUGAAGGUUGGGUAACACUAACUGGAGGACCGAACCGACUAAUGUUGAAAAAUUAGCGGAUGACCUGUGGCUGGGGGUGAAAGGCCAAUCAAACCGGGAGAUAGCUGGUUCUCCCCGAAAGCUAUUUAGGUAGCGCCUCGUGAACUCAUCUUCGGGGGUAGAGCACUGUUUCGGCUAGGGGGCCAUCCCGGCUUACCAACCCGAUGCAAACUACGAAUACCGAAGAAUGUUAUCACGGGAGACACACGGCGGGUGCUAACGUCCGUCGUGAAGAGGGAAACAACCCAGACCGCCAGCUAAGGUCCCAAAGUCAUGGUUAAGUGGGAAACGAUGUGGGAAGGCACAGACAGCCAGGAUGUUGGCUUAGAAGCAGCCAUCAUUUAAAGAAAGCGUAAUAGCUCACUGGUCGAGUCGGCCUGCGCGGAAGAUGUAACGGGGCUAAACCAUGCACCGAAGCUGCGGCAGCGACACUAUGUGUUGUUGGGUAGGGGAGCGUUCUGUAAGCCGUUGAAGGUGUGCUGUGAGGCAUGCUGGAGGUAUCAGAAGUGCGAAUGCUGACAUAAGUAACGAUAAAGCGGGUGAAAAGCCCGCUCGCCGGAAGACCAAGGGUUCCUGUCCAACGUUAAUCGGGGCAGGGUGAGUCGACCCCUAAGGCGAGGCCGAAAGGCGUAGUCGAUGGGAAACAGGUUAAUAUUCCUGUACUUGGUGUUACUGCGAAGGGGGGACGGAGAAGGCUAUGUCAGCCGGGCGACGGUUGUCCCGGUUUAAGCAUGUAGGCGGAGGUUCCAGGUAAAUCCGGUACCUUUUAACGCUGAGGUGUGAUGACGAGGCACUACGGUGCUGAAGUGAUAAAUGCCCUGCUUCCAGGAAAAGCCUCUAAGCAUCAGGUAACACGAAAUCGUACCCCAAACCGACACAGGUGGUCAGGUAGAGAAUACCAAGGCGCUUGAGAGAACUCGGGUGAAGGAACUAGGCAAAAUGGUGCCGUAACUUCGGGAGAAGGCACGCUGAUAUGUAGGUGAAGCCCCUGCGGGCGGAGCU
rnacentral:rRNA from 1 species